GACGAACCGUGCGAACGUUGUUCGGAGUCACUGGGCUUAAAGGGCGCGUAGGCGGCAGGCCAAGUCCGGGGUGAAAGCCCCCCGCUUAACGGGGGAAGUGCCUUGGAAACUGGCGUGCUCGAGGGAGGUAGGGGUCGAGGGAACUUCCGGUGGAGCGGUGAAAUGCGUUGAUAUCGGAAGGAACGCCGGUGGCGAAAGCGCUCGACUGGACCUCUGCUGACGCUGAGGCGCGAAAGCUAGGGGAGCAAACAGG
rnacentral:rRNA from 1 species